rnacentral:rRNA from 1 species
ACCAGACUCCUACGGGAGGCAGCAGUGGGGAAUAUUGCACAAUGGGGGAAACCCUGAUGCAGCGACGCCGCGUGAGUGAAGAAGUAUUUCGGUAUGUAAAGCUCUAUCAGCAGGAACGAGACAAGACGGUACCUGACUAAGAAGCCCCGGCUAACUACGUGCCAGCAGCCGCGGUAAUACGUAGGGGGCAAGCGUUAUCCGGAAUCACUGGGUGUAAAGGGAGCGUAGACGGCUGUGCAAGCCUGAAGUGAAAGGCGGGGGCCCAACCCCCGGACUGCUCUGGAAACUGUGUAACUUGAGUGCAGGAGAGGUAAGCGGAAUUCCUAGUGUAGCGGUGAAAUGCGUAGAUAUUAGGAGGAACACCAGUGGCGAAGGCGGCUUACUGGACUGUAACUGACGUUGAGGCUCGAAAGCGUGGGGAGCAAACAGGAUUAGAUACCCCAGUA